AUGAGACUUGCAUUUUUAAAAUUGUGAAACAUGAACCCAAGGUUGUGCUUGUAACUUUUCUGUGUCCUUGGUGACUCAGUAGGCUGAGUAAUGCCCCCUGCCAAUGACAGGGAAGAGCUCCUCCCAUUCUGAAAAUGUGCAGACUAGGAUUGAAAUAUAUUUGUUCCCAGGAGACCUUGGGAGUUCUAAUCCCUUUAACUGUGGAUGUUUCCCUCAUGGUUGCCAGGGACUUUGCAGACAUGAUUAAAUUAAGGAUGUUGAGAUGGGGAGACUGUCCUGAAUGAUCCGGAUGGGCCCUCGUCAUCAGGGUCCUCAUGGGAGGGACACGAGGAGGUCAGGGGAGGAAGCAGCGGGCAGGAGAAGUGAUGGCUGGAGAGAUGGAAGCAACUCCUCUCCCAGAACCUCCGGGAGGAACCAGCACCUUGACAUUCCCCCAACAAAACGGACUCAGACUUCUGCCCUCCAGAAGUGUCCAAAGAUAAACUUGAGUUGUUUUAAGCCAGAGCCUCUGGGGCAGUGUGAGAGCACCAACAGGAAGCCAGUACAGGAGGACAGCUCUGGGUCCCUUCCAUCUGGGUUCAAGGUUCAUCUUUCGGUGGUGUCUUCCAGAAGAGCAUAUGAAGGCUGUGGUGAUGAGCCUGCUUCCCUUUUGCCUACCGCCAUGAUUGCAAGCUGCCUGAGGUCUCCCCAGAAGCAGAUGCUAGAGCCAUGCUUCCUGUACAGCCUGAAGAACGGCGAGCCAAAGAAGCCUCUUCAUAAUUUACCAGCGUCAGGAUGCAAAGCCGGAAUAUGACUUAGAACUGCUGUGCCUGACAAAACUGCUGGUGCACAUCUGUACUCUGCAGCCAGCAAAACCCGACGCAAAAAACAGAAAGGGGGAGAUGUAGGUGCACACAUCUGUACUCUGCAGCCAGCAAAACCCGACGCAAAAAACAGAAAGGGGGAGAUGUAGGUGCACACAUCUGUACUCUGCAGCCAGCAAAACCCGACGCAAAAAACAGAAAGGGGGAGAUGUAGGUGCACACAUCUGUACUCUGCAGCCAGCAAAACCCGACGCGAAAAACAGAAAGGAGGAGAUGUAGGUGCACACAUCUGUACUCUGCAGCCAGCAAAACCCGACGCAAAAAACAGAAAGGGGGAGAUGUAGGUGCACACAUCUGUACUCUGCAGCCAGCAAAACCCGGUGCAAAAAACAGAAAGGGGGAGAUGUAGGUGCACACAUCUGUACUCUGCAACCAACAAAACCUGAUGCAAAAAACAGAAAGGGGGAGAUGUAGGUGCAGACAUCCGUACUCUGCAGCCAACAAAACCCGGUGCAAAAAACAGAAAGGGGGAGAUGUAGGUGCACACAUCUGUACUCUGCAACCAACAAAACCUGAUGCAAAAAACAGAAAGGGGGAGAUAUAAGAUAUUGGUCAAGUGGUGGGAAAAAUUAUAAGGAAGAUGCAAACCUCCUUGGAAGGUUGGAAGGUUUUGCAAAAGCCUCAGGGGAGAAUUAUGGCUGAAGGCAGCCUAAUCUUCUUACUUUGAGCUAAUAGCAAAGAGCAGAUAGCAAGGGAAUGUAGAGGAGUUUAUCUAAACAGCUUGUUUACCUAUCUCCCUAUAAACCAACCUUUGAUCAUCUGGGCACAUGACUGCUCUUUACUUGGGGGGCGCUGGCAAUGUUAAUUACCCACAAAUGGUAUUUACUUGAGACCUUUGUCAUUAAAUCUGUUCUAAAAUAAAUAUGAGCCUCUCCAGCAUAUGGGGGCUCCAUGGUCAGACUCCAGUCUCUUUGGGGUCUGUGAGCUGGGGCAUCCCCUAGCUGCAUUCACACAGGCAAAAUAUCUGUGCCUGCACAAUUCUGUCAUCCGUCACGCAGACAGAGUCUACCUGUCAGACUUGGCAGUUGGUGCCCAGGGUGCAACAAACUGGCACAGGGCUGUGACAUGCUGUAACACCCUCUUUGGGGCCCUGCAGUUCCUGGUGUCCCUGCUCAGGUGCCAUCACAUUCCCCUUGUCUAGAUGUUGGUGCCCACAAUGGAAGCUGCUUGGGGUACAUUCAGUCUGGCUUUGGCCUCUCACAGAGCUGGCACCUGUGCCAGCACCUGGGACUGCCUGCCCUGCCACAGCAGCCAGUGUGCCUGGCUGUGUACAGUGGAUGGACCCCACACUUGCUCACCCACACACCUCUCGCUAUUCUAUACCUCGCUCACCCUUGGCAGGUGUGGAAUCUGGGCUGGUAGCAUGAUUCCACCUGCCUGGGCUGAGUGGGGGCAACAAACCCAGCUGGUGUAGGCAAAACCCAAGCAGAGGUGCCACUGGCCACAGAGGUUUCUAGCUGGCAAAGUAACACCCUAAAGAUCUCAUGACAUUAGCUUGUCUUUAGGGUGGGGCUGGUUUUCCAGAGGGUGUUUCUCUGUGUCUGUUCAACCCUCAAUUGACAGUCUUCUUGGCUGUGGGUCUCAGUGAGAAUCUGUCUUUGCAGCUCUCUUGGAUGCAUCCCACUGUGACUUUGAUUUGAUGCCUGAUUGCUGGUGAAAGGGAAAAGAAUGUGCCUCACAGUGUUCUCAUCAUGCCCCAGUCUUAGGCUGGGCCAAAUCUAGACCCUGCAUCCCUGGGUCUCAUGGGUGUGGCUUUCAGAUAUGUUGCUUCCCUUCUGCAGGUGUAGUUCUGGACCUAGAAUGCAUACUUGUUCUCCCAAAUACAGAUUUUUUUCUCUUCCCUCCCUCCAACCCCAGGUGCAGUGGGUUUUGACAAAUGCUUUAAAAUAUAACUAUUUUGGUGCUCCCCUCCCCAGAUUAAGGCUUUUGUUCCAAAGGAGAGAGGAAGGGUCUGGGUGGAAUUCUGCGUUCCUCCUGCAGAGGCUGCUCCCCUGCUGCCCAGCGGUACUCCAGUGCUGCCUUUGCUUAGCACUUUUUAGCCUGUGUUCACUGGCUAAGAGCGUGUGUUCACUGACGUUUUGAUUCUGCUGCAGGGCUGGUUUUCCAGGCUUAUGCCAUGAGGGAAGCUUGCUCAAGACUGUCCCUGCUCUCCCUGAGUGCCCAAUUGGUCUGACGUAGGAAAACUACAAAAUGGUAGGAACAGCCCACAUCUGUGGCCCCCAAGGGCUUCCUGCUCUCCCACCUGCUUGUCCUCAUGGUGUCUGGCUGCAUCUGCCCCAGGUAAGCAGGUGCCUGCAUCUUGUCUCUUGUCUCUGCCUUGGGCCCCUGUUUCUCCUCCAGUUCCUAGUGAAGCCAUGUCCUUUGACUUCAGUGUUCUUAUGGGUUCGAGAAAAGUCAUAAAUUUGAAGUUUGCCUUUCUUCAGGGUAAAAGCCAUAUUCUUUCCAGCUUUCGACAUCCACAAGUAGAAACUGAGAUGGCAUUAGGAUUUUGAAAUGUUCAUGCUUUUGGGUGACCCCAUAGACUAAGCAAGAAACCUGUUUAUAUUUUGAAUAGAUAGGCGUAGACCUAUUUUUUUAAAUGGCGGCAUGGCGUUCUAUCUUAUAAUUAUGUGAGAGUUUAUCCCCUUUUUCUAUUACAACUGUGCUUGCACACACUUCUUAUGUAAACUGUGAAUGUUGGUCAGAUUCUUAGUGAACAAAUGGGUAGGUUUUUAUGACAAAUGCAUUAAAAAUCUCAUGCAUAACAGUAUAUGUAUAUGAAUAUGUAUAUGUAUGUAUAUGAAUAUGUAUAUGUAUGUAUUAUAUGUAUGUAUAUGAAUAUGUACAUGUAUAUGAAUAUGUGUAUGUAUAUGUAUGCAUAUGUAUAUGUAUAUGUACAUCUAUGAAUAUGUAUGUGUAUGUAUACGUAUGUGUAUGUAUAUGUACAUGUAUAAGAAUAUGUAUUUAUAUCUCUGUCCCUCAGGCUGGAGUGCAGUGGUACAAUCACUGACUUAAGGUCAGAGGAUCACUUGAGCCAGGAGUGUGCGUACCACCACAAUCAACUAAUUUUUAAAUGCUUUAUAGAGAUGAGGUUUUGCUAUGUUGGUCUUGAACUCUGGGACUCAAGUGAUCCUCCUACCUUGGCCUCCCAAAGUGGUGGAAUUAUAAGCAUAAACCAUCGUGCCCAGCCUGGUUUCUUAAAUGUUUAAGUUACCAUCCCCUGAUAACUAGUGAGAUUGGGCAAGUUUUUAGAUUUUCAUUGACUAUUCUGGAAUUUUUCUUUCCACCAACCUAAAUGCUUAAAAAAAAAUACUCUUUAUACACAGAAUGGCUGUAGAAAGGUACAACAAACAUUAACAUAAGGGUGACCUUGGAUGAGGGGGCUGGGUCUGGGCUCAGACAGGAAACUUUUUAAUGUAUCACUUUCUGAUUCUAAGAAAAUCAUGUGCAUGUAUGAACUAUUUAGGUGGGUAAAUUAAUAUUUACAAGUAACUAUAACUGAGAGCCAGUCAGUCCUAAGCAUUGCCAGUAGUUGUAUGAAUGGAGGUUCAGAGCCAGGGCCACCAUCGUUGGGAGCCUGUGAGCAGGUAUCACAGGGAGCAGGAAAUAUGACUGGGGAGGGACAGAAUCUACAGAGAGGCAAAGGGAGCAGUGGCCACGGAGGAAGAAUUAAGGGACCAGUGUGGUCAGAGUUACCUCCUUGGUCCUUGGGAUAGUUUCCCGCACCCAGGUUCUCAGUAAGUCCAGCCUACUCCUGUCCCUUCCUUUCCCUUCCCUUCCCUUCCCUUCCCUUCCCUUCCCUUCCCUUCCCUUCCCUUCCCUUCCCUUCCCUUCCCUUCCCUUCCCUGCCCUCCCCUCCCU